UACGUAGGGUGCAAGCGUUGUCCGGAAUUAUUGGGCGUAAAGAGCUCGUAGGUGGUUUGUCGCGUUGUCCGUGAAAACUCACAACUCAAUUGUGGGCGUGCGGGCGAUACGGGCAGACUGGAGUACUGCAGGGGAGACUGGAAUUCCUGGUGUAGCGGUGGAAUGCGCAGAUAUCAGGAGGAACACCGGUGGCGAAGGCGGGUUGCUGGGCUGACACUGACGCUGAUGUGCGAAAGCUAGGGGAGCGAACGGG
rnacentral:rRNA from 1 species